GUCGAACGAUGAAAUCACUUCGGUGGUGGAUUAGUGGCGAACGGGUGAGUAACACGUGGGCAAUCUGCCCUUCACUCUGGGACAAGCCCUGGAAACGGGGUCUAAUACCGGAUACCACUUCGUCCCGCAUGGGACGGGGUUGAAAGCUCCGGCGGUGAAGGAUGAGCCCGCGGCCUAUCAGCUUGUUGGUGGGGUAAUGGCCUACCAAGGCGACGACGGGUAGCCGGCCUGAGAGGGCGACCGGCCACACUGGGACUGAGACACGGCCCAGACUCCUACGGGAGGCAGCAGUGGGGAAUAUUGCACAAUGGGCGAAAGCCUGAUGCAGCGACGCCGCGUGAGGGAUGACGGCCUUCGGGUUGUAAACCUCUUUCAGCAGGGAAGAAGCGCAAGUGACGGUACCUGCAGAAGAAGCGCCGGCUAACUACGUGCCAGCAGCCGCGGUAAUACGUAGGGCGCAAGCGUUGUCCGGAAUUAUUGGGCGUAAAGAGCUCGUAGGCGGCUUGUCACGUCGGAUGUGAAAGCCCGGGGCUUAACCCCGGGUCUGCAUUCGAUACGGGCUAGCUAGAGUGUGGUAGGGGAGAUCGGAAUUCCUGGUGUAGCGGUGAAAUGCGCAGAUAUCAGGAGGAACACCGGUGGCGAAGGCGGAUCUCUGGGCCAUUACUGACGCUGAGGAGCGAAAGCGUGGGGAGCGAACAGGAUUAGAUACCCUGGUAGUCCACGCCGUAAACGUUGGGAA
rnacentral:rRNA from 1 species